ACACCUAUAGCUCAGGGGAUAGAGCACCGCCCUCCGGAGGCGGGUGCGGCGGUUCGAAUCCGCCUAGGUGUG
rfam:Ruminococcus sp. DSM 100440 contig00001, whole genome shotgun sequence.